UUAAGACAGAUUACUUCGGUUUGAAGUCUUUUAUGACUGAGUGGCGGACGGGUGAGUAACGCGUGGGUAACCUGCCUCAUACAGGGGGAUAGCAGCUGGAAACGGCUGGUAAUACCGCAUAAGCGCACAGUACCACAUGGUACAGUGUGAAAAACUCCGGUGGUAUGAGAUGGACCCGCGUCUGAUUAGCUUGUUGGCGGGGUAACGGCCCACCAAGGCGACGAUCAGUAGCCGACCUGAGAGGGUGACCGGCCACAUUGGGACUGAGACACGGCCCAGACUCCUACGGGAGGCAGCAGUGGGGAAUAUUGCACAAUGGAGGAAACUCUGAUGCAGCGACGCCGCGUGAGUGAAGAAGUAGUUCGCUAUGUAAAGCUCUAUCAGCAGGGAAGAUAGUGACGGUACCUGACUAAGAAGCUCCGGCUAAAUACGUGCCAGCAGCCGCGGUAAUACGUAUGGAGCAAGCGUUAUCCGGAUUUACUGGGUGUAAAGGGAGUGUAGGUGGCCAGGCAAGUCAGAAGUGAAAGCCCGGGGCUCAACCCCGGGACUGCUUUUGAAACUGCAGGGCUAGAGUGCAGGAGGGGCAAGUGGAAUUCCUAGUGUAGCGGUGAAAUGCGUAGAUAUUAGGAGGAACACCAGUGGCGAAGGCGGCUUGCUGGACUGUAACUGACACUGAGGCUCGAAAGCGCGGGGAGCAAACAGGAUUAGAUACCCUGGUAG
rnacentral:rRNA from 1 species